GGUUGCAGUCACUAUCUGGUGACGUGUAACUACAAACAUAGUUACUUUUUGGGGUGAUUACAUAUGUAUUAAUUUAUUCCCGGAUAUCUUUUAAACUACCCACAACGUCAUAUGGAGGAUCUACUCUGCUAUGGAGUUCGUAUGAUAGCUCGGUAGCUAGCUCGAGCCUGCUGACGUUAGCCACUAGCCAUGCUAGCUUGUAAUGUGUUGGCAGUGGUGAGUUUACAAUUCACCAAUCACAAGGAAGUGUGAUGUAAACAAGGAGCAGAUGGAAUACGUGCGGCCAUGCAGCAUGCACUUCACAGACUUUGUGACUCUGUUAUCUAGUGGGAACCUGGUAGCACAGCAGGCUCUUGUGCCUUCUUGUCGUGGGCUCAAAACGAAAGACAAAAUCAUACCAGUUUGCUCUAAUUGUGUAGUACCUCAUCUGUUCUCCUUUUUGUUUUUUCAACUUUUCGGCAUGUUGUCUGUGAAGUAGACUACAUUGGCUUAGUGCUAGUGUGCUAGAUGACGUAAUCUACCGUCUCCCACGGUUGGCGAAGCGCCUGCCUUCCCCUCGCCUUGGUAGCUAACUUUGCCUGCACUCUUUAAAAAGCUUUACCAUUUUAUGGGCCCCAGGCAUUACAGGGCCAUCAGCAUGGACCUGCUUUCACCAGGGAGGCCCUGGUAGGAGCCACUAGGAGCCAUUGUCAAUUUGACUCUCCAGUCAAGCGUGGAGCUGCGCUGGCUGUACAGACCCUGAUCUUCCAGACAGAUACAAACAAUGAUAACAGCAAACUGUGCUCUGUGUCUGCCCAACAUGUCCGCUUCAGUGAGCAGAAAAAUGUGAAAAGCACAGCUUUCAAUGACACCUCAACCCAAAAGUUAAACUGAGGGAUUGUGACCAGCAUCGAGUGGGACUAAGUAAGCAUUUCACAGUAAGGUCCACAGCUGUUGUAUUUGACGCAUGUGACAAAUAAAAUUUGAUUUGAUUGAUUUGUGACCUAACUCUACCUAGUUUACAGUCUGUGUUUGUUUGCUGAAAUAACUACCCCUCCACCU